UGCAGAUGAUGCUCGCCCAGGCAGCCUGAAGCUUCGCACCUGAGACAGAGGGCUCAAAUAAAUACGAACCCCCCACUGUCAAUAAUCUGGCAUUUGGACCCCAAAUGAUGAAGUUAGUGCCGCCCCUGCCAUCCUUGACAUUGCCAUCAAAAUUGAUCUUAACAAAUCUUGAGGGUGGAGGCUUCCAAAAAUAAAGAUAACCCUCUAGCUUGUUGUAGGAGCAGCAUAGGGGUCCCA
rnacentral:lncRNA from 1 species